CUCUCCAGAGCGUCUUUGUGACUUCAUCAUUCGCUUAUUUGUGACUGCUGCAAUAACUAUGGGCUCUGGCCACACCAGAUGUUCUGUCACUUUCGCUUUCACUACUGGAGGAGAGACGGUCAAUGGCCAAGCCCUAUUUGCAUACACUUUUGACAUGACGGGGCAAUUCAGUUGUUGGUUUGAAUGUCAGCAAAAUUGCCGGUGCGUUUCUUUCAACUUUCUAACAAGUGUAGGAAGAAACAACUGCCAACUGAACGAGAAAAAAACCAAAUUUCAGGGGCCUGGUUCGAUGAAGGCACCGCACGGAUCUCAGUCUUAUGAUCGUGUGGCCGGCUACGGAGUUCAGAUUCACGGACUUAUGAGGAAGGUUUUGUGACGGUGGAAUCCAUGCCAAAUCAUUCUUGACAAACCGGUCCGCUUGUGGAUCGUAACCGCUAAAUUAAAGCCUCUGCUAUAGGCCCUAUUCACAGGCUAAACCUUUGUGAAGAGUUGCCGUACCCAAUUCGCUGUUAAGCUACGUUUUGAGGUGGUAAGGAACAAAAACGAAUACUGAGGAUCGUAACCGCUAAAUCAAAGGUUGAUGAGAUUUCCACUUGAAACACUAGAUCAAUGGCCUCUUUAAAUUCAAGCCGAAAAUAAAGCUCUUGGUUGUGACCUUAGUGGUACCUUUAUAAUUCUUCUCACAGAAAAAAUGUGUUGUAGGCCAGUUUUGAUGAAACAGGAGUUCACUGUCAAAAUUUCAGGUAAAAUGUUUAUAAGCAUUUUUUUGGCUACAAAAAAAGGAGUAGAUGUGAGCCGAAAGUGAGUUAUUUUGGAUGGUUUUUUACGCUG